GACGAACGCUGGCGGCGCGCCUAACACAUGCAAGUCGAACGGAGCGCACGGAAUGAAGCCUUCGGGUGGAAUUUGGUGUUUGCUUAGUGGCGAACGGGUGAGUAACACGUGAAUAACCUGCCUUUCAGUGGGGGACAACAUUUGGAAACAGAUGCUAAUACCGCAUAAGACCACGGUACCGCAUGGUACAGCGGCCAAAGGAGCAAUUCGCUGAAAGAUGGAUUCGCGUCCAAUUAGCUAGAUGGUGAGGUAACGGCCCACCAUGGCGACGAUUGGUAGCCGGACUGAGAGGUUGAACGGCCACAUUGGGACUGAGACACGGCCCAGACUCCUACGGGAGGCAGCAGUGGGGAAUAUUGCACAAUGGGCGAAAGCCUGAUGCAGCGACGCCGCGUGAGGGAAGAAGGUUUUCGGAUUGUAAACCUCUGUCUUUGGGGACGAAGAAGUGACGGUACCCAAGGAGGAAGCCACGGCUAACUACGUGCCAGCCGCCGC
rnacentral:rRNA from 1 species